rnacentral:lncRNA from 1 species
GUCGAUUGUAUUUAAAUGAUGAAGUUCAUAAAUUAGUUAAAACUGGUCUUUUAAUAUUUGAUUACAUUAACGUUGUAUUUGAUAUCGCCUUCUAACGAUUUUUUGAGUGCCACUUGUUUGUCCUAAAAAGAUAGAACGCGAGUCUAGCGUACAUAACUAAAGCUGGUACUUUUCUUAAAUGAAAAUCGUUCAAUUUUAAACAAACAAUGAAAAACACAUAUCAUAAAAAAUAAGACAUGCGUGCUGUUUGUUCAUGUCCAUAAAGCAUCUUUAAUGUCAGGUUCAGAGUAGACCAAAUAAU